rnacentral:rRNA from 1 species
UAGGGAAUCUUCGGCAAUGGACGAAAGUCUGACCGAGCAACGCCGCGUGAGUGAAGAAGGUUUUCGGAUCGUAAAACUCUGUUGUUAGAGAAGAACAAGGACGUUAGUAACUGAACGUCCCCUGACGGUAUCUAACCAGAAAGCCACGGCUAACUACGUGCCAGCAGCCGCGGUAAUACGUAGGUGGCAAGCGUUGUCCGGAUUUAUUGGGCGUAAAGCGAGCGCAGGCGGUUUCUUAAGUCUGAUGUGAAAGCCCCCGGCUCAACCGGGGAGGGUCAUUGGAAACUGGGAGACUUGGGUGCAGAAGAGGAGAGUGGAAUUCCAGGUGUAGCGGUGAAAUGCGUAGAUAUAUGGAGGAACACCAGUGGCGAAGGCGGCUCUCUGGUCUGUAACUGACGCUGAGGCUCGAAAGCGUGGGGAGCAAACAGG